GACGAAGGAUGCAAGCGUUAUCCGGAUUCAUUGGGUUUAAAGGGAGCGUAGGUGGCCUUAUAAGUCAGUGGUGAAAUCUCUGGGCUUAACCCAGAAAUUGCCAUUGAUACUGUAGGCUUGAGUAUAGAUGCCGUUGGCGGAAUAUGACAUGUAGUGGUGAAAUACAUAGAGAUGUCAUAGAACACCGAUUGCGAAGGCAGCUAACGAAACUAUAACUGACACUGAGGCUCGAAAGUGUGGGGAUCAAACAGG
rnacentral:rRNA from 1 species